CACCACAUCUGGCACCACAACUAAAUCAAAUGCCAGCAUCUCACUCACCAGGCUACUGAGUCAUGAAGCAAUUUGCUUUCUCAGUAUCUUCUUGCAUCUGAUCUGAUGAGACCCGAGAGACCUGAGGACAAACCAUGCUUUAGAGUAGUAUAUGGAUAUAGUAGUAACGUUGGCAUAUUUUCCAAAA